AGAUAUUGAACAAUACAUGAUGUGAUAAUCUGGUUAUUCUGUCCCAGAACUAAAUCAGUGUUUCAGCAUGCAGCAAGAUAAAAUAUCUUGUAUUUGUGCUGAACUAUACUCCAGUUACAGCAGAGUCUAUCGUAGAGGUGCCCAGCAACCCCUCUUGUAGGCCUGAAUGGGAUCACUUUCAGUUUUUUACUUCUGAGGAUGUGGACAAACUGCUUCGGACUGUCCGCCCCACCACCUGCUCUCUUGAUCCUUGCCCAACUUGGCUUAUUUCAUCUGGCAGUCAUAUUAUCAGUAGAGGGUCUGGAAACGGCAUGACCCCCCCUAAGUGCCUGCCUGGAGGAGAUAUUGGGCUGGAUGAAGGAUAACAGGCUGAAGUUUAAUCCAAACAAGAUGGAGGAGGACCCUGAAGACAUACCUAUUUUCCCAGGCUUUUAACUGAAAUCAAAUUUUAAAAUUUUAAUGUGUUCUAUCUAUUGUGAUUUUUAUCUGUUUUAUGAAUUUUGAAUGUUUUAUAUUAUGUUUUAAUCUGUACACUGCCUAGAGAUUUCUAUAUUAGGUGGUAUAGAAAUUCAAUAAAUAAAUAAAUAAACACACAAACAAAACAGCAAUCCAGCAGGGGAAGCUUUUCCAUCAUUGCAUCUGUCAUCUUGGGAAAGCUUCUUUGGCUGAAUUUCAGGUUGUCACGCAUGCUCUUAAAAGCACAGGAGUCCUGCCAGAAAAGAAAUGACAAUCCGAAUUGAAUGAUGAUGAGCAUUUACAAGCGAAUUCACCCUAUGACUCAUACAUAUCCCUUCUAUUCAGGACGUGCCUAGAUGGUUGUAAUGUUGGGUGUUUGUAUGUUAGUGUAGUGCAUUUCCAGUCCCUAAAAGGCGUUCCAUCUUGGUCUCCAUCAGGCCACACAGCUGAGUCUGUAGUUUAUAUAAAAGGAGGUCAGAGCAGAGUAUGUUAAUUAGAUUAGAGAUAUGGCCAAAAAUUCAAGUCUGUCCCCACCACCAAGCCUGUCAAAGAAAAUGCAAUAAGAAAAUAUCUUUGAGUUGUUUGUCCACUGCAAUUCCACCACCCCACCACCACCCAGAAUGGAUAUGCUAAUCAGAUAUUAUUUGGGCAAAGAGUUCUCCCAUGCUACAUAGUACUGUCUCAGUGGUGGCCCAAGACCUUGGCAUGCCUGAGACAGGGCACCAAAUGCCUCCCCACCUUUAUUUUUGUUCGUGGCAGCAGCAAGAGCUGCCACCACUUCAUUAAACAUGCACACAGAAACUCACACACAAACACCUGCUUCUGUCUCCUCCUAACCAGGCGCACAUCCUCCUACCUCCCUUGUGCUGGGCUCAUAACGAAAAGGAGGAGAAAAUGGAAGAAGAAAUGAUGAAAGGCAAUAUUCAUUUCCCCUGCUGCACCUUUCCCCUUUUCAUCACUAGCCCAGCAUGAGGUAGGUAGGAGGGUGUGCACUUGGCUAAAAAGAGGUGGUAGAGGACUGUCUCUGGGUGGCUCCUUGCUGAAUGGUAGCUGGUCUGACUCCUUGCUCCCAUGAUGGUGAGUGACAGGUGACAGAGGGAAACAGGCAGGGUAGUCUAAGAGAUUAUGAUGCCUGAGGUGAGGCACUAAAUGCUUUCUUGCAUGGGGGGCAGGAAAGAGGGAAGGUUACCAGCAGCCUCUUCUUGCAAGUGUUGCAAGGAGUGUUGAGGAGAGGAGGGCAGCCUCCCCCACCCCACGCACCUUGCAAAGCUUGUAAGGGUCAUCUCAGCUUGGUCCCAAAGCACUAUUCCUAUGGUGGCAGUGGUGGGACACUUGCCAUCCUGGUGGUGCCCCAAUAAUCCACUAUCUGAGAUGUCCAUUUCACCUCGCCUCAUGAAAGGACUGCCCAUGGAAGCAGGUGAGGUGGUGGGCAUAUUUCUGGUGCCCCCAAAUCCAUUGCUUGAGGUGAGUACCUCCCGUUGCUUUAUGUGAGCACCCUGUAUG